ACGAGGAUCACAGUUUUGUUGAUCAUCCACCGUUGAUAACAUUAAAUCUAACGGACAGAAAUCUUCCUUUUAUUUUGUUUCUCAUUCCCAACAAAAGCAAUUACUCUCUUCUUCUUCUCUUUUUUUUUUUUACGAUCUCUACUUCUCUUCUCCUGUUUCCUUUUUGUUUUUCUGAUCUCGCAUAUCAAGCCUCCGCCACCGCGUCUUGAAGCCGUCGUUCACCACCACCACCACCAUUGACGAUGUUCAACGCAUCAGCGCCGUGACAUCAGCCCUGGAGUUCAACGCAACGACGCCGUCACAUCAGCCAUGGAGUCUGAUCCAAAUUCCGAUUGCUGCAAUGUUUUCAAUGGGCAACAAUGAGAGCUCCUAGAUCUGAUGCCCGACGAACCCUCACCCUCCAGCCACCACCAGAUCCGACGCCACGAGACCACCGAAGAUGCUUGACGGAAAGACAUCUCGUGAAGCAUUUUUUAAUUUUUUUUUUUUUUUUUUGGUAAGGUUU